CUGUAAGUUGAGAAUUAGGUUUUAUUAGGUGGCAUACUGAGGGCUUACACCCAGGCAGCAGCUUCGUAGACCGCUCUGAGGGACCGUUCCAAAGAGGUCAGUGAGGAAUGGGGAUGCAGAGAAAUUUUUGCAACAAAAACCAGAGAGUGGGAACAUCCAACAGUGACUGUUAUUUUAAGAAAAACCAGACAUCUCACAGGAAGGAAGGGAGUGCUUUUCUGUGUCUGGGAAGAUGCAGGGUUCUGGGUUCAGUGAAACCACUCCUUUCAUAGGCACCUCAGCUCCUUGGGGCCAGAGUCCUAUUUUUCCCCAACCCACCAUCCUUCCCCACAGGAGGCACUGCCCAGAGCAGCUGUGGUGGCUGCUGGCUUGAUGGCUGCAAGCGUGAUGGCUGCAAGCGUGUUUAUUUACGGGAAAGGUGAUAUUAAAAGGUAAUGCAUGUUGGAUUAAAAAAACCCAUUUGUAUUGAGAUGUCUUUCAACGCCCAGAAAACACACUGAUCAAUCCUGUGACUUUUGAGGAAUAUAUGGAAAGUUAAGAUUCCCAUCAAAAUGUCUUUAUGUCCAAGAAACACGGGAUCUGAAUCACUAUCCAUAUAAAGAAGUUUCUCCCUGUGGAUGACAGCGGUGCCUUACCACGCAUCAAAUUGAAACCGUAAAUUUGUUCCUGAGCAGGACUCUACGGAGCCUUCGCAUGUCCUCUGCCUGCUUCCUGUCGGUAGAAAAGCUUUAGCCUCAGGACCCAGCCAUAAAAAAGAAUGACACCACCUCAUUCGUUGCAACAUGGGUGGACCUAGAGACCCUCAUGCUGAGACAUCCCUCUGACAGAGAAAGACAAAUACCGCAUGAUAUCACUCCUAUGUGAAAUGUAAUAAAAAUGACAUAAAAACUUAUUGACAAAACAGAAACAGACCCAUAGAUUUCAAAAUAAAACUUAUGGUUAGCAAAGGGGAAAUGGGGGGUGGGGAGGUAGGAUAAAUGAGGAGGUUGGGAUUAACUUUUAAUAGAUACACUGUAUAUAACAUGGAUAAGCAACAAAGAGUUGCUGUCUGACACAGGGAAUGCUAUUCGAUAUUCUGUAACCAUCAGCAUGGGAAAAGAACCUGAAAAAGAAUGGAUAUGCGUGUAUGUAAAAUAGUUUCACUUGGCCGUACACCUGAAAUUAACACAACAUUAUAAGUCAACUAUACUCCAAUAUUUUUUUAAAAAAAGAACAAAUAUCCAAGCAAAAAGAGGAUGCAAUUUGAAUUUGAAUUUGAAUCACUCUAAACAUAUUAAUACAGUAUUUCUGCUAGUUAAAACCAAACCAAAAAAUAAAUAAAUAAAUAAAUAAAUAAACCUUUAGCCUCCUAGGCCUUCCCUGAGUUUCAGAACAAAUUUAAUCAGAGAAGUGAGAAAAUUCAGAAAUAAAGGAAAACCGUCAAGCAAGACAAACUAAGAAGAGUUUAGCCAUUCGACAAAGUCAAGGACCUCAAGAACCUUAAGUUCCUCCUCAAGGACUACAGGUGUGAUGACCGUUUUUAACUCCACGGCGAUUUUGAAGACCAGGAACGUUCAUGGGAAACACGUUCCAUUUGAUGUGAGCGUCUCCUCUGAGUUUCCUUGUGGUGUCUGCCUCCCAAAGCCUUCUUCCUCCCUCCUCCGUACCUGAUCAAGCACAGGUGAAGGAAUGAAGUCAUUGCUCUAGACCUGCCACCCAAGAGUCAGGAUGCAGACACAUCACCAAAGAACAAGGUCCUUCCAGAGUGGCCCGACUUUGGUGCUGUUGACAACUGAGGCUGGAUCCUUUAGGGUGGGGGCUGAUCAGGAGGAUGGGCAACUCCAGCGGAAGACUUAAGAGAGACAGAAGAAAUGCCUUCUCCACGGGCAGAUGGAGUGAGCAGUGUAGAAUCCAUCACCACAGUUCAAGGCAUCUCAGAGACUCAUUUCUGAAGCCAGGGCAGAAGAAUCGUGCUGCAUCUCUACAGAAACGUAGGAACUGGGACUGGUGGAUCAACAGUUAUUACAGAAGUUGAAAGAAGGAAGGAAAGAAGAAAACAUGAGUAGCAGAUGAAGAGAAACCCAUCAUUUUAUGUCUUUUUGCUUCUCGCUGCACCCUCACUCCAGGGAGACUCAGUGCAUGAGGUAAGUCUUAUUCACACUUGGCAUGACCGAGGCGGCAGGCAAUAUGUGGGAAAGACCUGGACUUUUGCAGAAGCUCUGCCCUUUACUCGUUAUGUGAUUGGAACGACGCCUGGGUCGCUUUUUGUCUCAGUGGUGCAGCAGUAAACAGAGGGAAAUAAUCUCUCUCCUAGUGGAUGUGCAGAUUCAAGGGGAUGUGGUCAUGGUGCUGAGAAGAGUGUGUGCCUUUUCAUUAUUGCCAACUAAUCACUUCGUGCACUUAUAUUUUAAAAGGGGCAAUUCAUUGAAUUUGAAUAAUAUCCAUUCCCUGUGCCGUUUUUCUUUUUGAUGGCAGUGUAGCUGAUUUAGAUUAUACUUCAAUCAAAAAGAAAGGAAAAAAAAGGAACAGGCAACGGAUUAAGAAAAUUGUGUUGUUUUAGCUGUACGUAAAGUGAUUCAGGUUAUUACAACAUAUUGAACGCGGGCUGUAGAUUAAGUCCUUAUUGUACAUUUGUUUUAUACGUGGUAGUGCGUAUCUGUUAAUCCCAAACUCCUAAUGAUUCCCUCUCCCACAUCCCUUUUCCCUUUGGUACCCAAGAGUUUGCUUUCUCCACCUGUGAGUCUAUUUCUGUUUUCUUAAAGAAGUUCAUUGGUGUUAUUUCUUUAACUCCAC